UACAGAGGAUGCAAGCGUUAUCCGGAAUGAUUGGGCGUAAAGGGCGUGUAGGCGGGAUAGUAAGUCUGUUGUAAAAGUGCGGAGCUCAACUCCGUAAGGUCAAUGGAAACUGUUAUUCUUGAGUGCAGGAGAGGAAAGUGGAAUUCCCAGUGUAGCGGUGAAAUGCGUAGAUAUUGGGAGGAACACCAGUGGCGAAGGCGACUUUCUGGACUGUGUCUGACGCUGAGGCGCGAAAGCUAGGGGAGCGAACGGG
rnacentral:rRNA from 1 species